CCUACGGGAGGCAGCAGUGGGGAAUAUUGCACAAUGGGCGCAAGCCUGAUGCAGCCAUGCCGCGUGUGUGAAGAAGGCCUUCGGGUUGUAAAGCACUUUCAGCGGGGAGGAAGGCGUUAAGGUUAAUAACCUUGGCGAUUGACGUUACCCGCAGAAGAAGCACCGGCUAACUCCGUGCCAGCAGCCGCGGUAAUACGGAGGGUGCAAGCGUUAAUCGGAAUUAUUGGGCGUAAAGCGCACGCAGGCGGUCUGUCAAGUCGGAUGUGAAAUCCCCGGGCUCAACCUGGGAACUGCAUUCGAAACUGGCAGGCUAGAGUCUUGUAGAGGGGGGUAGAAUUCCAGGUGUAGCGGUGAAAUGCGUAGAGAUCUGGAGGAAUACCGGUGGCGAAGGCGGCCCCCUGGACAAAGACUGACGCUCAGGUGCGAAAGCGUGGGGAGCGAACAGGAUUAGAUACCCCUGUAGUC
rnacentral:rRNA from 1 species